AGACUUUGAUUAUGGCUCAGAACGAACGCUGGCGGCAGGCCUAACACAUGCAAGUCGAACGCGUGCCUUCGGGCACGAGUGGCGGACGGGUGAGUAACGCGUGGGAAUUUGCCUUGGGGUACGGAAUAACCGCGGGAAACUGCGGCUAAUACCGUAUACGUCCUUCGGGAGAAAGAUUUAUCGCCCCAAGAUGAGCCCGCGUCCGAUUAGGUAGUUGGUGAGGUAACGGCUCACCAGGCCUUCGAUCGGUAGCUGGUCUGAGAGGAUGAUCAGCCACACUGGGACUGAGACACGGCCCAGACUCCUACGGGAGGCAGCAGUGGGGAAUAUUGGACAAUGGGGGAAACCCUGAUCCAGCCAUGCCGCGUGAGUGAAGAAGGCCUUAGGGUUGUAAAGCUCUUUCGGUGGUGACGAUGAUGACGGUAGCCACAGAAGAAGCCCCGGCUAACUCCGUGCCAGCAGCCGCGGUAAUACGGAGGGGGCAAGCGUUGUUCGGAAUUACUGGGCGUACAAGGGCGCGUAGCGCGGAUGAUCAAGUCAGAGGUGAAAGCCCUGGGCUCAACCUAGAGGUGCCUUUGAAACUGAUUGUCUUGA
rnacentral:rRNA from 1 species